UAGUUUCUACUUCAUAAGGUUAUUGUGAAGAUUAAGUUAUUUAAUACAUUCGAAGCACUCCAAAGAGGGCCUGGUAUAUCGUGAGUGCUCAAAAAAAUGUUUUAAAAAAGCCUAAGGUAAUAUACAAAUCAAUAUUAUACGUGUUGUAGAAAGUCUCCCUUUGGGGCGCCUGCGUGGCUCAGUCGGCUCAGCAUCCAACUUCGGCUCAGGUCAUGAUCUCAUGGUUUGUGGGUUCAAGCCCGUGUUGGGCUCUGUGCUGACAACUUGCUCAGAGCCUGGAGACUGCUUUGGAUUCUGUGUCUCCUUCUCUCUGCCCUUCCCUGCUUGUGCUCUGUCUCUCAAAAAUAAAUAAGUGUAAAAAAAAAAAAAAAAAUUGAAAAAAAAAGAAAGUCUCCCUUUAAGAACAUUUUCCCUAGUAAGAACCAAUCUUCAAAACUUCCUUUGAGACUUUUCCUUGUCAUUUUGGCUUUAUCUUUUCAUUGUACAGGGGAUACUAGGCCUGUCCGGGAUGGUUAAGGUACGAGAAAGAGAGAAUUGAGGGGCCCCAGCUAACCGCCAGCACCAACCAUCAAGCACGUGAGUGAGGCCAUCUGUGUCCUUCAGAUCCAGCCCAUCCCACAGCUGGCUGCAGCAACACAGGAGAGCCGGGGGGCCAGCAGAGGAACCAAGCACCAGCCCACAGGAUGGAACAGAGUUUGGUGUCUUCUGUUACUGUUUUGGUGGGAAUGAAGCUGUUGCCUGGAAAUGAGAUAGGAAAGCCCUGUGAUUUCUUCACAAUCCUCUGCUACACUUGUUUGCAGACACAACGUAGGUUGAAGGGAACCACAAAAGACCCUGAAUAGCCAAAGCAAUCCUGAAAAAAGAAAAACAAAACUGGAGACAUCACGAUUCUGGGUUUCAAGCUACAUUACAAAGCUAUAGUCAUCAAGACAGUAUGCUACUGGCACAAAAACGGACACAUAGAUCAAUAGAACAAAAUAGAAAACCCAGAAGUGGACCCAGAACUACAUGGCCAACUAAUUUUUGACAAAGCAGGAAAAAAUAUCCAACGGAAAAAGAGACGGUCUCUUCAACAAGUGGUGCCAGGUAAACUAGAUGGUGGCAUGUAGAAGAAUGAAACUGGACCACUUAUACCAUACACACAAAUUCAAAAUGGAUGAAAGACUUCAAUGUGAGACAGGAAACCAUCAAAAUCCCAGAGGAGAAAACAGGCAACAACCUCUUUGAUCUCAGCCACAGCAACUUCUUAUUAGACAAGUCGCCAAAGGCAAGGGAAAUAAAAGCAAGCAUGAGCUCCUGGGACUUCAUCAAGAUAAAAAGCUUCUGCAUGGUGAAGGAAACCAUCAAAAAGAUUAAAAGACAACCAGCAGAAUGGGAGAAGAUAUUUGCAAACAACAUAUCUGAUAAAGGGUUAGUAUCCAAAAUCUAUAGAGAACUUAUUAAACUCAACACGCAAAAAACAAAUAACCCAGUUAAGAAAUGGGUAGGAGUGCCUGGUUAGUUCAGUAGGUUAAGCAUCUGACUUUGGCUCAGGUCAUGAUUUCACAGUUCAUGAGUCUGAACCCUCUGUGCUGUCAGCACAGAGUCUGCUUCAGAUCCUCUGUUCCCCUCUCUCUCUGCCCCUUCCUGGCUCUCUCUUUCUCAAAAAUAAACACUUAAAGAAAUUGGCAGAAGACACAAAUAAACACUUUUCCAAAGAUGACAUCUAGAUGGUUAAGAGAUGAAAAGAUGGUCAACAUCACUCAUCAUCAGAGAAAUACAAAUCAAAACUACAAUGAGAUACCACCUCACACCUGUCAGAGUGGCUAAAAUUAACACAACAAACAACAGGUGUUGGAGAGGAUGUGGAGAAAGGGGAACCCUCUUGUACUGUGGGUGGGAAUGCAAACCGGUGCAGCCAUUCUGAGAACAGUAUGGAGGUUCCUCAAGAGCCUAAAAACAGACCUACCCUAUGAUCCAGCAAUUGCACUAUUAGGUAUUUACCCAAAGCAUACAAAAAUACAGAUUCAAAGGGGUAUACACACUCCAAUGUUUAUAGCAGCAUCAUCAACAGCCAAAAUAUGGAGGGAACCCAAAUGUCCAUUGACUGAUGAAUGGAUAAAGAUGAUGUGGAUCUUACACAAUGGAAUAUUAGUCAGCCAUCAAGAAGAAUGAAAUUUUGCCAUUUGCAACAAUGUGGAUAGGGUUAGAAUGUAUUAUGCUAAGUGAAAUAAGUCAAUCAAAAAAGACAAAUACAAUAUGAUUUCACUCAUAUGUGGAAUUUAACAAACAACAGAUGAACAUAUGGGAAGAGGGGAAGAGAAGAGAGGGAAACAAGCCACAAGAGACUCUUAAUGAUAGAGAACAAACUGAGGGCUGAUGAAGGGAGGUGGGUGGAAGAUGGGCUAGAUGGGUCAUGGGUAUUAAGGAGGGCAUUGUGAUGAGCACUGGGCCUUGUUAUGUAUGUGACGAAUUACUGAAUUCUCCUGAAACCCAUACUGCACUGUAUGUUAACUAACUGAAGUUUAAGAAAUAGAUUACACUUAUCUUUGAAAAAUUUUUUGAUGCCAUUUCUUGUUUACAGAAAUAUCUCAGCUCAAAGUAAUAUAUAUUCAACAUACAGCAUUUGGUAAUACAGAAUAGUAUAAAACAUGAAAAACUUCAUGCUUCAUCUCACAACCCAGAGCUUGCCUCUCAAGAUUUUUGGCCAUCACAUUCAAUGUAUCUAGGGCAAAAAUGAGUAACUUAACACACACAGUGGAUACUCACUAUAUCCCGGCUGGAUGCAUGAAUGCUGGG